rnacentral:piRNA from 1 species
UGGAUGAAGAACUUGUUUGUGAGU